rnacentral:rRNA from 1 species
GACGAAGGGGGCAAGCGUUACUCGGAAUUACUGGGCGUAAAGCGUGCGUAGGUGGUUUGUUAAGUCUGAUGUGAAAGCCCUGGGCUCAACCUGGGAAUUGCAUUGGAUACUGGCAGGCUAGAGUACGGUAGAGGAUGGCGGAAUUCCCGGUGUAGCAGUGAAAUGCGUAGAGAUCGGGAGGAACAUCUGUGGCGAAGGCGGCCAUCUGGACCAGCACUGACACUGAGGCACGAAAGCGUGGGGAGCAAACAGG